rnacentral:lncRNA from 1 species
GGGUGCUGAAAGCCUGCAAAUUCAGGGAAGAUCCUUCGGAAGGUGCGGGGCGCUCCCUUGCUCAAUAGACCGACUUCUAAGAAAAUGCCCACAUAGAAGCAGUUGCCUUUAUCAACGUUAUGCCCGUGAGCAACAAUUAUGCUUCUUACCUUGAGCUUAUCGUUGAUUCGUUUAAGGAUUAUUCUUUUAUCCACUUUUCGACUUGCUGCAGCGGACUCUGUUCUAGCAAGUGCAAGCUUAAGCAGUAAAUACCUUCUGCGAUUGUUACUAUCAGUCGUUAACAAAGCUUUAUUUCGUACCAUGUUGAAACACUACUGAUUAUCUUCUAGGCUGGUAUACUACAUAUGGGUUGAUGAAACCCAUCCAAAAUGAGAUUCAGAGUACCAUAAGCAAACUCUCCAAAUUACAUUUAGGUCAGGUACCCUUCAUCUAAAUAAAACUAGAGAAGGAAGGCACUAUCCAUGAAAAUAUCACUAGAAUGGAGAAAGAUACUCUAUCUAAUGGAGAGAGAGAUACUCUAUCUGAUGGAGAGAGAGAUACAAUAUCUAAUAGAAAGAGAGAUACUAUAUCAGAAAACUCCACAACAAAAGGAGAUUGAGGGUAAGGAAGGGGGGAAUUCUCUAUGCGUCCCUACUGUUAAUGAAUCGAUGCCCAUUGUCACCAAUAGAUAAUAUAGAGAAAGGGAAAGAGAAGUGAGCGCAUCAAAAAGAAAGACAAAAGCGUAGCCAAAAAGAAAGACAAAAGCGUUGCCGAAAAACAGAAAAGAAGUCGUUAUGGAAAUGCUCUUUUGUCUCUAUUUGAGUUAGAAUUCCUUAGUGAGAAAACUAUGAAAUCAGUAUAUGAUAAUGAACCUAACAACAUUCCUUUAUGAAUACGGGAGACUCAAUAUAUGAUAAUGAACCUGGCAUCAUUUCUAUAUGAGUAAUAGACACUUUUCUUUCUAUUUGAAAUGUAAGAAAAAGCGACAUCCGCAAGGCUCUUAGCACCUGAAUACUGGACUAUAUUCUAUUUGUUAUCUGCUUAGCUUAGGUACAAUACAUUAGUUAUAGUGGAUCUGAGCAUGUGGCAUACGAAGG